UUGGUGCAGGGAGGACCCCCCUGGGCAGAAGGCAAGGUCCAUCCUAGUCUGUUAAUUUGAUAAAGAGCAUGGAGUUCUCGCUCCAUGACAGACACUUAUCUAUGAGCCAGUGACACAGCAACGAACACAACACAGGUUGCUGCUCUCCUGGUGGAACUGAUCUUGUGACUCCACUUAUCUGGCUGUGAACAUUAGGUUUCAGCACUGACACAGCAGCUCUUACCUUGUCUGCUGGAACAUGGUGUCUGUCACAUGCUGUCACAUGCCACUGGCUGAGGGUCAUGAGUCGCAAGGUUGGUGUUCUGGAUGCAAACAGCACAGCCAGGGCUUCCUACACACCUGCUGCCAAAAGGAGGGACGUGAAGAGUAACCAGGCUGCCGGACCUCGAGGUGCUUCUGAGUUCGUGACAGGAUUACCAGACAACCGGUGAGGAUGUCGGGCCCCUGACAGAGGAGAAGCAAACGAUGAUGACAGAGGGGCCAUGAUGGUUCCUGGUCGGCUGUUUCUUAGAAUAUAUCAUAGUCCAGGAAGAUGGCACUGAGCCUGGGGACCUGGGUUCAAUCCCUGGCAUUCAUAUGGUGGAAGGAGAGAACCAAUUCCUGAAAAUUGUCCUCUGACCUACACAUGUGCAUGUGUGCACAUCUGUGUGUAUACACACACUUUAAAAUAUAUGAAUAAGUGUAUGUGUGUGUAUGUACGUGUAUGUGUAUGUAUAAAUAAAUGCAAU